ensembl:snRNA U6 U6 spliceosomal RNA
GUUCACUUUAGCAGCACAUAUACCAAAGUUGGAAUGAUACUGAAAAGUUGGGCAUGUUCCCUGCAAAAGAAUGAUGUAUAAAUUCAUGAACAUUACUUAUUUUUA